UCAUGGAGGAAAAUAAAUUAACAAAAUCUAUUCCAUUUAUUCAACAAAAUCCAUGAAAUCCAACAGUUAAUAUCACAGUCACUGUUGUCCAUCUUGGCCCCAAAUCAGGAAAUUGCAUGUGUUGUCUUUUCAUCUUCUCGAGGUUGUGCUAGUGCCAGCCAUGUGAACAGUCCUCUUUUGUUAGCACAGCGUUGUUUACGCAGUGACUUCUGCUUCCAGGACCACACAGUGUCACCAACAAAUCUCUGUCAAUCAUCACUUCUAAUGAAAAAGACGUGCUGAAGUUUUAUCAAGUGGAGAAUUAUUUUAUUUCCCUAACUCCUUCUCAGCAUUCAAAUGGGAACAGAAAAGCUAGCAGUACAUACAUGAAGAAGACUUAGGAGAUCAUCCUUUUCCUGGGGAAAAUAAAAAACGUUACACCAGCAAAAACCUUAUUUCCAGGAUCCUGAAAUGGCUCCUAGCUCUGUGAGAAGAGAACAGCCUCUUGGGUGGUAUCCAGCUGAAACAAUUUCAACCAAUACUAAUCCAAGCAAAUUCAGAGGAGGUACUAAGAAUGCAUUGCUUGGAAAAACUAUGAGAGAAACUUAACUGAGCCAUAAAAUGUUACCCAUACAUGUGAUUUCACCAUGCAAAGCAAAGACUGGAUCUCACAAAAACACAAGUAAACACUUUCAUCAACAAUCCAUCAGUAAAAAUAUCUACCCUAUGACUUUAGAUAAUGUACUAACUCUAGAUAAUAGACCAAGAAACAGAAAAUUAAAGUUGAAACCUGAAUUCUGUGUUUAGGGGAAUUGGUUGUAAAUAUCAUCAGUGUCACACACCAUACCAAGUAAUUCUAGAGAAUGAGUAGAUAACCAUGGGGAUAACGAGCAUUUUCCGCACUUGAUAACAAGAUGAACUCCUUUACCUAAGUCUAGUUCUGACUCCUCUAUGUCCCCUAGGCCUCAGUCUUGGUGCCCAACCCUCUACUGCCCAAUUGUAGUGGGAAUCUUGCUAAGUCUGUUUAGAGAGAAUCCUUCACUCUUGAUAUCUGAUUGUCUUGAUAUUUGAUCAAAUUCCACAUCCCCAGAAUUCCCCAGGUGAUAUCUGAUCAUCCUGGCCUUCAGUCUGCAAAAGUCCUGUCACAUUGGUUUAGCCAUAGUCCCUCCUCACUCCUGAUGUUUCCUGUUAGUAAUUUUCCAUCCCCUCAUCCCCCAACCUGCUCCUUCACUAAAAAUCUCCAUCUGUUCAAGCUACAUUCGGAAUUGAGCCCAGUACUACACUGAGGUCUCUUUUCUCCUGUUGCAAUAGUCCCUGAAUAAAAUCUUUUACCACUUUA